UGGUGUUUAAUUUCUAUAGAGAGGAGGAAUGCUUGUUUGCAACUAGGUGCGCUAAUAUCUGAGUUCUUGUACCUCUUCUUCAUAUUGUUAAAUGAUGACGAUUUAAUUAACAAAACUUUAAGCUAGGCUAAUUACAAAACUUUACCGUUAUCGUCCUUGUGUGGUUGGUUAAUUAAUUAACUACCUAGCUUGUAAAUAUAUUUUGCAAACCUGACAUUGAAUUAGUACGAACUUCAUAUAUCUUUGGAAUUAGAUUAAUUUGUUGUUGGGAUUGAACGAACACGAUUAUAAAUGGUUCAAACAUAGUUUGCAUGAUUUCACUAAUUUGGUCGAUUAUAAAUAGAGAUGGAUGGCGAAAGAUGGGUGCAUAUGUGCAUGACAUUUCAUUCCUCACCAAAUGAGACCGUUAUGUGUCGUGAUACAAUAAGUAUAUCUUGGUACCACUUUAUUUUCUCAAUCAUUAUUGAACGAUGUUUUAGACCCAUGCAAAAACUAAAUCUGCAAGACCUUCUCAAGUUUUGUCUGCCAAUUAAUGGUGGCAAAGUUAGAAUUUGAGUAAGAAAAAAAUCAAGAAAAAAAAGGUUUAUAAAUACUUCAAAAGAAGAAAUUGGUAUAUUAGUAAGACAUCCUUGUUUGAAAUAAGCAAGACCUUGAAAUUCAAAUUUUUUCGAACUAGGCCCUGAUUCUCCGAUCGAUUCCUUCACCUACAUGUCUAAGAUUUUAUGCGGGAAAGGUAUCCUUUUUUUGCUUUUUACAGCCAGCCCAUUUUCUGAAAGUAUAUGAUUGUUGAUUUUGUUCUGUUCUUGUGUUGUGUUGUUUGAUUUUAAUUUUAACUCUN
rnacentral:lncRNA from 1 species